rnacentral:lncRNA from 1 species
CUCGGCGCGCCGCCCCGGGCUCCAGGGCGCACGCGCAGGCGCCAGCCGGCGCGGCGGGCGCGCGGCCGCGGCCGUCCCCUCCCCCACUCCCACUGCGCCGGAGGGGAAUCCGUCACCGCGGCUGCUCAGGCCGCCGCGGUCGGUCGUAGCCAUGGACUCUUCGUGGGAGGAUCUGACGCUGGCCUUCUCCCGCACGUCCAUGUUCCCCUUUUUUGACAUCGCCCACUAUCUGGUGUCCGUGAUGGCGCUGAAGCACCGGCCGGGUGAGUGUGGGCGCUGCGGACCCGCCCCCUCAGCUUCCAGUCUCGGGGAUGACUGACUCGGUCCAGGGGCAACCGGGGGCCGCUGUCCGGGAAGGAUCCGAUAGUCUAGUGGGAGGGCGCCCUGAAACUGCCUGGCUGACCCCCCCUUUAGUACAGAAGGAAAACUGAGGCCGGGAGGGCGGAGGCCGGGUACUAGACCGUGGAGGCUAGGCGCCGCUUCCGUGGCUUGCGGGGUUGGCGGGGCUCCCGGGCCGGUGCGGAAGCCGCUGCCGCGCUGUCGGUCUCCUGGUGGUACCAGCGCUUCCCUGGACGGUGUUUCAAAGUCACCGGAGAGCUAAGCUCCCAGUCCCCGCACGUCUCCGACCUAGCCUCCGGGAGUAAACAGGUGGUCCUUGCCUGUUGGGAAAGUUGUGCAAACACGUGAGCCGCAGGCCUCCUCCCGGUGGGCAUACCGAUGUUCUCCUUAACGCGGUGUCCUUCUUGACACCUGCUCAGCACGUUAGGAUGACUGUCAGAAGCCAGUGCUUCCUGUUUUCAUUGUCACCAGUGACUUUUGUACAAGUGAGAGCCGCUGGGCAUCUAGUUUCACACGACUCUGUGGAGUGGGGAUGUGGUCUUGUGGUUUGAAGACCUUUGGAGCUGUUAACCAAGGAGCAGUAUUUCUAUUUUCUAUCUUAAAUUCAGGAUAUUUGCUCCUAUAUUGCUUUACUUUUGUUGUUAUUCCACCUUCCCUUUAUAUUUUGUGCAUCUCUUCUUUCAAGAGGCCAAGCAUUUCUGUCCAUUUUCCAUGCGUUCAUACCAUCUUUAAUCCGCCUUGUUCUACAAAUAGUUGAUUAGUGAAGAUUUGAGGUUGAUGCUGUAUCUCUCCUAGAUAUUACUGGUUGUCUCAAUUUUUGGAACUUAGAGUAUUUUUUUUUUUUUUAAACUUAUAUUGGAGUUUGUAACUCAGUCUGAAUCAAUUGUUUGGUAGAGAUUUUGACCUGGACAAGGGUAGUAUUACUAUACUAAUUAAUGUAGGAUAGAUAAUCUGUAUACGAUACUGCUUCCUUAGUCUGAAAGGAAGUACAUUUUGUUACUGCCCCAUACUCAGAAUUUGAUAUUUUCUUGCAUUGGGUAAAAGGUUCUCAAAGUAUGGUUGAGGAAUCCACAGGGUUCUCUGACACUAACUUGUUAAAAUUAUAUUCACAAUAAUAUUCAGGUAUUAUUCAUUUUUUUCACUGUGAUUUUUUUACAUGUGUACAGUGGAGUUUUCUAAAGACUACAUGACUUAUAAAUUGUGAUACUGUAAGAGAUUGAAGAGUAUAAGAAUCUUGCCAGCUGUUUUCUGUUUGAAGCCAGACAUUAAGGAUUUGCUACAACAGAAAACAGUGUACUUUUUCUCACUGAUUGAUUUUAGCUUUGGAAAAAAAGUCAUUUUUCACAAAGAAUCUGUUAACAUUUAGUGCAUUUAUUAUUUUUAAAAUGAAUAUAGAACCCCCCCCCUUUUUUUUGGUGGUGGUAAUAGGGAUUGAAUCCAGGGCCUUGAAGGUGUUAGGCAGGUGCUCUACCAUUGACCUUGUGUCUUUAGCCCAUAAAGAACUAUUCUCUCAGUUACAAUUUGAUACUUGUAACCCCCAUGAACAAAAGUUCUUUGGGGUUCUCAGGAAAUGUUUGAAGGGCUGGGGUUGUUGCUCAAUGGUAAGCUCACCUGGCAUGUGUGAGGCACUGGGUUCUAUCCUCAGCACCACUUAAAAAUAAAUAAAAUAAAGGUAUUGUGUCCAUCUACCCUCCCCCCCACAAAGGUUUUGAAGUCAGUUAUUUUUAAAGGUAUAAUUUAUAUACAGUAUAUUUUUUUUUGAGAGAGAUUUUUUUUAAAUAUUUAUUAAUUUUUUUUAGUUUUUGGUGGACACAACAUCUUUAUUUUUAUAUGUUGCUGAGGAUCGAACUCAGUGCCCUGCGCAUGCCAGGGAGGGCGCCCUGAAACUGCCUGGCUGACCAAUGAGUUUAUACCGCUUGAGCCACAACCCCAGCCCAGUAUAUUCUUUUUUAAUAUAAAAAUUUAACAUUAUCAUAUAUAAAAUAUAUUAAUUUUAAUAUAAAGUUCUAUGAUUUGGAAAAUAGUCUUAUAACCACCAUUACAAUCAAGAUGUAGAACAUUUUGUUCACCUACCCCAGAUUUCCUUCUGCUCCUUUGUAGACAGUCCUCCUUCAACUCCUGGCAACUAUUCAUUAGCUUAAAAUUUUUAGUGUAUAAAGGGGUCAGAGUCCCCCAAAGUCUGAGAAUUACUUGGAUAAAUGAAUGCUAAUAUAGUGUUAUAUAGAGAGUAACAAAUAUUUUUUUCUAGUACCAGUCCUUGUAAAGAGGUAAAAAUGAUAGAAUUCACAUGAGUGUACCUGUUUAUACUUUCCCUGGAAAUGUGUUAGACUCCUUAUUUCCUUUGACAUUGUUGACUAUUUUCAGUCCUCAGUACCUUGUCAUUUUCAUGAUCAGAAAACAGUUUUCAUUUGCAUUUGUCAGGGUUACUAAUGAGUUUAUACUUCUUAGGUUUAUUGAACACUUGUAUUUCAUGGCUGUAAGUUUCUUAAUAUCUUUUGACCAUUUUUUUUCUAUUGGGUUGUAGGUUGUUGUCUAAUUGAAUUAAUUUUCUUUAUGUAUCAUGGGUGGCUAAUUGAAUUUGUUUUCCUCCAAGACCUUUAUUAAGCCUCUAGACUGUCUGUAAUUUUGCUUAUUUUCUUUAUUUAGCCUUUCAGUUUUUCUGAGUUACUGAAAUCCUUCAAGUGAAUUCUUUUUGGCUUAAGUUUGUCAUAGGUUUUUUUUUUUUUUUUUGUUCGUUUGUUUGAUUUUUACUUGUAGCCAAGAACCCUGUAUUUUAUAGCCUCUAUAUUGAGGAGUAUUGAUAUAAAGUGUUUAAUACUGGUGAUUAUAGUGAGUGGCUUUGUUCUCAUGAUUUUAAUGAGAAUAUUUUUAAAGUUUCAUCAAAUGUGGUGUUUUACUGUAGGGUUUUAAGAGGCAUAGUUAACAGUUUUAUUUUAAUCUUAACUUUCUAGGUUGUCCCUAUAUCUUUAUCACCGUCCUGGUGGAGAAGGUGACAAAUUUUGUUAAUGAUCACCCCCCCCAAAUCCAUUGAGAUGAUCAUUUGUAUUGGUUUUUCUAUUUAAAAAUGUAAUGGGCAUGGUAGCUUAGGCUUGUAAUCCCAGCAAUUCUGGUGGCUAAGGCAGGAGGAUUAUAGGUUAAAGAAUAGCUUGGGCAAUUUACCAGGACCUGUCUCAAAAUUAAAAAGAGCUAGCGAUAUAGUUCACUAGUAGAGCACCCUGGGGUCAAUCACCAUUACUAAAAGGGGAAAAAAUGUAGUGAAAAGAUAUUCAUAGAUAUUUAAAAAAUGAUGAACCAUUCCUAUAUUUUAGGAAUAAACUUUACUUGUUUGAUGUAUUUAGUUUUCAGGAAUUUUGAUUGCUAGUACUUUAUUUAAACUUUUUGUAUUUAUGUUUAUAAUGGGAAUUUGCCCAUCAAAUCUUUUUCUACUUUGGGUAUCAAGGUUAUGCUGUUUUUGUAAAAUAGAUUGGGAAGCUUUCCACUAUUUUAUAUUUAUUAUUUAUUUUUAGCUCAAGAUAGUUUAUUUAAUAGGCAUUCCCUAUACUUUUUUUUUUUUUUGGAGAGGGGGUGGUACUGGGGAUUGAACCCAGUGAUGCUUUAUUAUUGAGCCAUGUUCCCACCCUUUUUUAUUUUUUAUUUUGAGACAGGGUCUCCAUAAGUUGCUUAGGGCCUCAUUGAGUUGCUGAGACUGGUUUUGAAUUUGCGAUCCUCCUCCAUCAGCCUCCUGAGCUGCUGGGAUUACAGGCAUGCAUGCACCACCAUGCUUAGCGCAUUACUUAUUCCUAGGUAUUUGUUUUAGUCAGCUUUUUCAAUGCUGUGACCAAAAAAUUUGACAAGAACAAUUUUAGAGGAGGAAAGUUUAUUUUUGCACUGAUUGUUUCAGAGGUCUCAGUCCAUAGAUGUGUGACUCCAUUCCUCAGGGACCAGGUGAGCCUGAAUGGGAAGAGUAUGGUGGAGGAAACUUUCACUCAGGACAUGGCCACUAAUAAGCAAAUAGAGAGACUCCACUCUCCAAGGACAAAAUAUAUACCCAAAGGCACUCCCAGUGACCCACUGCCUCCAGCCAUACCACCCUAUACCUGCCUAAAGUGACAGGUAGUUAAUACUUAUUAGGAUUCAUCAUGGUGUAGGUUAAGACUCAUAAUCCAAUUAUUUCACCUCUAAGCUUUUUGUGUUCUUACACAUGAGCUUUUGGGGAACAGUGUUUAUGUAAACCAUAAACAGUAUUCAAUAGACUUAAAAUAUGAAGCGGUUUCUUGGUCCAUUUUAAUGAGUAAAUCUUUUUUUUUUUUAAUAAAAAAAUUCAGUCUUAAGUCAUUUUUGGCAAUUUACAUUUCUCUCAGGAAUCAUUUGUUUCCUUUAAAUUUUGAAGUGUAUUGGAGUAAAUGUGAACAUUAUUUCUAGAAAAUUUCUCUGGAUUCGUUAGUAGUUGAUUCUUUAAAAAUUUUUUUAAUGUAUAUAUAUUUUUAGCUGUAGUAGGACACAAUACCUUUAUUUUAUUUAUUUAUUUUUUUAUGUGGUGCUGUGGAUGGUACCCAGCGCCUUGCAUGUGCUAGGUGAGCGUUCUACCGCAGAGCCACAACCCCAGUCCCUAGUAGUUGAUUCUUAAAUGUUAUACACUUUAAUUUGACUCUUCUGGAUCUUUUUUUCUUAUGUCCAGUGAUAAAUUUUUAUAGCCUCUGAUUUACCUUUUUUUUCUUCUAACUCAUUUAGAUUAAGAUAUGUUUGUCCAGAUUCUUGUUGUUAGCAGCAAGUAGCUUAUAUGUUCUCUUUAUAUGUGGUCAGCUAGACUUUUUCAUAUUUAGAACUGAAGAGUGGAUAUGUGGUACUUCCAGUCCAAUGCCUAGUUUCUCUUAGUUUUACUUAGUAUAUAUAUAUAUGCUCUGCUUAACUGGCAACUUUUCUUAUCCCCCAGAGACUGAUUGUCUAGAACUCAGAUCUAUAGUAGUAUAAUAAAUCUACAGUUCAUGUAUGUGCUGCUCUCAGGAUUCUUAUCUCUAUACUUUCAAACAUGUUACUUUUUGAGACUUAAUUUUGAAAUAUUUUCUAUCUUUGCUAAUACCUCACUCCCCAAUUUUUUAUCCUUUAUAUCUUAUCAUUGUAGUUUCUGCCUAGAGCAUAAAAAUUCUAGUGGAGGCUAGAAGGAAAAGGGGAUUAACUCUUUAUACCUGAGGUUUGGAGACGGUUAUACCUCGUAUUUGUUUGGUUUAGAUUUUGAAGUGUAUUGGAGUAAAUGAAAUGAAAGAUAAUUCUCCCAUUUCUCCACUGUGUGAUUUUUUAAAAAAUUUAAAACAACAUUUUUUUAGUUGUUGAUAGAACUUUAUUUUUCUUUGUUUAUAUGUGGUGCUGAGAAUUGAACCCAGUGCCUCACACAUGCUAGGUAAGUGCUCUACCACUGAGCCAUCACCCCAGCCUCCAUCCACUUUGUGAUUUCUACUUCAUAAACAAAGAUGUAAAACACAGGGUAUGAAUUGGAUUUUUUUCCCCUUAGUUUACCUCCAUUUGUCUUAAAAUCAACUGUAGUUUUCCCUGAAUUCUGGCAUUUGAUUUUCAGCUCCCCCAGUCCCUUUAUCUCCUGGGCAUUUUAUUAGGAAGUUGUAAUAUGCUGCUUGGGGAGUACUAGUGAGAAGCCAUUCUUUUACAUUACCAACUUAAUCUAUUUUAUCUUACAUUUAAAAUCAGUCUUUUUUCUUGUUAAAUCUUCAUUAAAAUAAACAUUUCUUCAAGCCCAUAUUCAUAUACAAUUGCCAUCUACUAUGACUUCUGAAAACAAUCUACAAUUAUUUCUUCUAUGCAUGAAAUCUAUUAUUGCACUCUACAUUCUCUCAACAUUUUGCCAACCUCUCUUAAAUCCUAUAUAGUUCAGUUAAACAAAUUCUAUAUAGUACAGUUUUUGAAACUGUACUAUACUAUAUUUAUCAGGCUCUAUAUUAGAUGUUGAGGAUGCCAGAAUAAAGGCUAUUCUUUUUUUUUUAAUUUCUUUUAAUUUGUUGAAAGCUACUCUUACAAUCCUAAAGAAACCCAACUGCUCAUUCUUCUUGCUUUUUUGGACAGUGUCUCAUAAGAUUGAACUGUUGUUCUUAUGUAGUAGAAAUAGUUAUCAUUGGUUUUGUAUACUGCAGAAUAUUUCUGUAUAAUUCUAAUCGUCAUACAUUUCUGUAAUAUGGGUAUCACUGAACUCAAGGGUACUCAACCACUGAGCCACAUCCCCAGCCCUUUUUUAAAAAUAUUUUAUUUAGAGACAGAGUCUCACUGAGUUGCUUAGUGCCUUGCUAUGUUGCUGAGGCUGUUUUUGAACUCGUGAUCCUCCCACCUCAGCCUCCCAAGCCACUGGAAUUACAGGCAUGAGCUACCACACCCUGCUUAGAACUAGUUCUUGACUCCAGAUUUGGCUAAUUCUAAACUUUCUAAACCAUCUGUGUUCUCUCUUUGCAGGCCCAGUGUUCCUGGUUUCUUAAUAUUUACAAUUUAGCAAUGAACUGUCUUUUGACAUGUUAUUAAUCAUGGGAGUUAUUUUCUCCCAUGAUUUCUGUCACUUCCACAUCACACACCAGGUUCUCAUUUGUUUUAGGAACUAAAUUGAGGGAAAAAGCUUGUCAUAGUUCCAUUCUCUAAUUGGUGGGAAAUGAAAGGGCUAAUAAGUUAAAAAUUUAUUACUCUGGGCAUUUUGGACAGAUGGCAGUGCUUGUGACAACACAAUUUUGCCAUCUUUGUGAACCCCUUAUAAAGAAGCCAGGCAUGGUGUUGUAUGUCUAUAAUUCCAGAGGCUCAGGAGGCUGACACAGGAGGAUUGUGGGUUCAAAGCCAGCUUCAGCAAUGGCAAGGCACUAAGCAACUCAGUGAGACUCUGUCUCUAGAUAAAAUAUAAAAAAUAGGGCUGGGGAUGUGGCUCAGUGGUUGAGUGCCCCUGAGUUCAAUCUCUGGUACCAAAAAAAAAAAAAAAUAUAUAUAUAUAUAUAUACACACACACACACACACACACGUACACACACAUAUAUACUUAUAUGUGUAUAUACAUAUAUAUUUAUAAUUUUAAAAUUAUAUUUUGAUAAUUAUGCAUUUAUAUAUACACAUAUAUACAUUUAAAAAUAUGUAUUUUAAAUUAUAUAUAUUUAUUAGUACAAAAGUUAAAAAGGUACAGACCAAUGAAUUUUCAAAAUUAGUACAUCUAUGUAAUCAAUACCCAGAUAGUAAUAGACCAUUCACAAUCUUCAAGAAGCUUCCUUUAUUAUAUGAUUAAAAAAAAUGUAAUAGUUGCUACCAGUAUGUAGGAAGGGAUGUCUCAGAAAUGGCAGUUCAUAAUUUACUUCUGUAAAUUUAGAGAUUAUGCUUGAAUAUAUUUAAUAUUUUUUUUGAGUGAUCUGAGAUAAAACGCUGGCCAGUGAAUUUUUUUAAGAAUUUCUUUUUUAGUUAUAAAUGGACAUAAUACGUUUAUUUUGUUUAUUUUUUUUAUGAGGUGCUGAGGAUCAACCCAGUGCCUCACACAUGCUAGACGAGUGCUCUUCCCCUGAGCCUCAAUCCCAGCCCCCAGUCAGUGAGUUUUUUGGUAGAAAGAUCUCAUAAAGCUAGUCAGGAGGCCAGUGUCUAGUUUAAACUUUUCCAUUAAUGGACCGAGUAGUUCUAAGAACUUAAAACUCAGUAUUUUAUUUGUGCAAUGAAUGUGCAGUACUAGAAUAUCUAACUGAGGAGUUUCCUCUCUACAGGGUUCUCAGUUUGGGCUGUAAAGAGCUUUUCCUCCAAGUUAGUAAAUUUAAAUAAUUUUAGCUUAUUCUUUGGUUCCCCAGAGUGGUAAUUGCUUUCUGCAGCUGAUACCUAUGUAAUAAUAUUUACCUUUUGCCUUUCAACCACUUAUGAAGCAAGUUUAUAUCUAUACUGUAAUAUUAACUUCUCUCUAUUAAAAUGACUGUGUAUUUUCUAUCUAUUGACUGGACCUCUGACUGAUGAUAGAAAUCCAGGAGGAGUGGAAUUUAAUGUCCCACUUUCUGGUUUGCAUACUUUAAAAAUUUUUUUUUUAGUUGUAGAUAAAUAUGAUAUCUUUAUUUUAUUUAUUUUUAUGUGGUUCUGAGGAUUGAACCCAGUGCUUCACAUGGUAGGCAAGUUCUCUACCUCUGAGCUAUAACCCCAGCUCUGCAUAUAUCUUUUAAAGAUAUCUAAAGUACUUGGUAUAUCUUGAUUAUCAGAUUUAUUCAGUAGAAUGUCAUCAGUAUUGUAGGCAAGUUUGGACUCACAGUAUGAUUAAAAUCUCAAUGUUGGAGUAUAGGAGAGUUAGCAUAGGCUUGAAGCAAGAAUGUGAUAGUUUAACAAAAUGGAGUGCUGCUGCUGCUGCUGCUGCUGCUUCUUCUUCUUAAAUUGUUGUUUGUUUUUUACAAAUUAAUAUGGAGAAAAAAGCAUUUGCUUAGUAGGUGUCAUGGUUUGAAUACAAGGUGUCCCCCUAAAACUCCUGUGUUAAUGCAGGAGUAUUUGGAGGUGAAAUGAUGAGAUUGUGAGAGCUGUAAUCUAAUCAUUCCAUUCUAGUUUGAAUGGACUAACUGUAGGGAGAUGGAGCAUGGCUGGAGAAGAUGGGUCCCUGGGGUCAAGCCCUGAAAGGGUGCAUCUUCUCUGAGGGGACCCUUCUCUACCACUUCCUUGUUAGCAGUGAGCAGAGAAGCUUCCUUCCACUGUGUCCCCUCCACCAUAAUGUUCUGCCUUGCUUUGGACCCAGUAAAAUCAUGAGCCAAAAUAAGCUUUUACUUCUCUGAGUAAAUACUUGUUCUUGUCAAGUAUUUUGGUCACAGCCGUGAAAAGCUGACUAAUAUAUUAGGUUAUGAGUUGUUAAUUUGCUCUGGUAAAAACACUUCAUCUUAAAUACAGCCAUUCACCAGGUCCAUCUGUUUGAUGUGGUCCAAAAAGGCCAGUUAAGCAAAUCAUCACCUUUUCAUCUUUCAAGUCUGUUUAUGGCACUUAUAUCUGUGGUAUUUUUUUCAUUUACUUUGUUGGCAAGAAGAGGAAUCUCUAUAGAGUUUCUAGUUGAUCCUUUCUACCAUAAUGAUUCUUACUCCACAGCUCAGAGAAUCAAUUUGGGGACUGAGCCAGUUGCCAAAUAUAACCAUUCUAGAUGUGCAUUAAUGAACUGGGGAAAAUAACCAGACGGUGGAUCUUUGUAUUUACUUGUCUCAGUGUGACUCAAACUUGAUCUAAAAAAAACUCCUUGAAUUUUGUCACAGAUAGUCUGUAAACCUUUGUUGCUUCCAUGAUUAUUUUUAAUAAUUCUAAUGAAAAAGCAUUAUGAGGAAUGUGAUAUAUUAUUUUAUUCAUUUUUCUUUUUUUAUAUUGAUUUUUUAAAUUUGUAGAAUAGUCUCACAAAAGUAGAACUGUUCAAGGUACAUGCAUUUAAUCAAUACUGCCAGUUUCUUUUUCUUUUUUUUCCAGAUUCUAGAACAAUCUGCUUGCUUACUCCAGAUCUUAUCAAUUUUAUUUUGUUUUAUGCCAAGCAGAGGUGGAAAAUGGUUUUCUAAAAUUUUAAUUUGCAUUUUUACCACUUUCUCCUAAAAUGCUAGGUUAAUGGUCAAGGUUCUUUCUUGGACACUGACCUUUAUGGUAACUUUUCUCUCUUUUUAAGGAGAUAAAUCUAUAACUGGAAAAGGAUAAAGCAAAGUAUUAGUAAUACACAGUUUAAAAAUACUAAACAUCUGGAGUUAAAAUUUAUGCAGGCUAGAACAUUCUUGUGCUUCUUUCUGGAAAUCAUACUAACCACUAGCAAGCUGGAUGUUAAAUAUUUAAAAAAUAGCUACAGUGAAACUAGUUCUUAAGAAUAGGGUUUUACUUUCAAGCUAAAUUAGACUGAGUCCAAGAAAUUAAAAAAGUCAUGUUUGUCAUACAUAAAAACUAUCUUUCGGGCUGGGGAUGUGGCUCAAGCGGUAGCGCGCUCACCUGGCAUGCGUGCGGCCCGGGUUCGAUUCUCAGCACCACAUACAAACAAAGAUGUUGUGUCCGCCAAAUACUAAAAAAAAAAAAAUGUUGAAAUUCUCUCUCUCUACCUCUCUCUCACUCUCUCUUUAAAAAAAAAAAAAAUAAAAAAUAAAAUAAAAACUAUCUUUCUAAAAUUUGUUACAAAUAAGUUAAUAGGACUAUUGUAAACAUAAUCUAAUGAUUUUAUUUUGGCUAUAAUUUUGGAAUUUUGUAGAUUUUAAGUGAGUUUACAGAAAUAGUUUGGAACUUCAUAUUUAGCUUCCAUUUUAUAAUGAAAAUAGUCUUAUUGAAACACAACCUCAUUCAUUCAUUUAUAUAUUAUCUAUGAUUGCUUUCAUAGUAUAACUGCAGAGGUAAAUGAUUAAAUAGAGACUGUCUGGCCCACAAAGUGAAAAUAUUAUUAUCUAUCCCAUUACAGAAAAAGUUUUCCAGAUCCUGGUUUAGUUGGUUAGGGUGAAAAACUCAGGUUCCCCCUGUGAUCCUCAUAGGCCCUAACUACAGCCAUGCAUUGUGUAGCUCCCCUUUAAAUCCCUGAUCCCUUUUACCCUGCUCCAGUCACACAGCUUCCUCCUUGCUGCUCCUUUAGUACCAGAAGUAGCUGGCGUGGGGGUGGGGGGGUGGGGGAGGAUCAGGAUUUAUUCUUCCCUUACUUUUUCACUUAAUGGAAGUAUUUUGAUAUUAAAGUCCAUAUGUGGUUAUUUGUGUUUUCAACAUCUUAGAUUUGGUACUUAGAUUUGAGUCUUCAGUACUUAGAUUUGGGUCUCCAUGUGAUAACUUUUGCUAAGAGUUUUGGGAAAAAUGGUUCUAUUGAUAGCAUAUUUCAAACAUCUUUAUUCAAGUUAGGACAAAAAAUUUUUUUUCUCUUUUAAAGAUCAUUAUGUUAAAAAUAACUUGAACAGAAUGUUUUUCACUGAAAUAAUAUUGAAAACUGUGCAAGUAGGACUAUGUGAGGAGGCCACCUCAUCUAUUCUUUUCCUGAUUCUUUUUUUUUCCCAAAUGAAAUCUUAGUUUCAUUUAUUUAAGGCUAUUAGGUUCAUGAGUAUUCUUUCACUAUCAUCUUAUCCAAAGCAAUAUGCAGCUUAAAAAUAGUAAACAUCUGGAGUUAAAAUUUAUGCAAGCUAGAACAUUCUUGUGCUCCUCUCUGGAUAUCAUAAUAACCAUUAGCAAGCCUGAUGUUAAAUAUUUUAAAAUUUAAAAUUUUAAACCAACAAAUGGUUCUGGGAAAACUGGAAGCAUAUCCUAGUCUUUCAGUAAGAACUCAAUAGAAUUGUAUUUUGGGCUUAGAGAACUGAGCCUGAAGGUUUCAUUUACCUACCUCCUUUCUCUGUUGUAAUGAUGAAUCUGCUGAAUAGAGAAAUAAGUCAGCAGAGUAAGCAGCCAUGUACUAGGUAUAAAAAUGUAUUUUAUAUAUAUUCUCUCAUUUUAAAUCCUCACAAGGUAUGUAUUAUUUCUAUUUUAUAAACAAUGAAAUUUAAUUUGAGUGAGAUUGAGGCCAAUCCAGAGGUUAUGAAACUGAUAAGCAGUCAUAAUUAUUUGUCUGGCUUUUGACAGUCCUUGGUAAGGGCGAUUAAUGGCAGUAGAAUUUUAAUGCUUAAACUCUUUGUUAUAUUUCAUAUGUAUUUUUCCAUCAUAUGAUAAACGUUCUAUAUUAGUACCUAUUUCCACUAAAAUGUCAUAGAGUCUCAGGAUUAACAAUUUUAUAAUGGAGAUGUGAUUUGUGAAAAAAAAAUGUAUCUUAAGAAGAAUGAAUAAAAUAAGUGAAUGUUGAGGGAAAAGGAAAGUUUUCUUUUCUUUUGUUUUUUUUUUGGGUACCGGCAUACUGGGCCACUGAGCCACAUCCCAGCCCUAUUUUGUAUUUCAUUUAGAGACAGGGUUUCACUGAGUUGCUUAGCACCUCACUUUUGCUGAGGCUGGCUUUGAACUUGAGAUCCUCCUGCCUCAGCCUCCUGAACCGCUGGGAUUAUAGGUGUAUGCCACCACACACAGCUAGCAAAGUUAUUUUGGUGGACUUAAUAAGAAAUUAAUAUUUUAUGAUUAAAUAUUUUUUGUGUAAAAGUGUUUAAUAAAUUUAAUUUGGAUUGGUUUUAAUGGCCAAAGGAGAGGUAGGUGUAUUUGGGUUUGGCUUAACCAGUGAGUGAUAGUGUUAGAAUAGUAUCAGAAUACUACUAAGGAAUGCAGAAGAGACACCAGUCAGUAUUCCAAUUGUGUUUUUCAGAACUAAUCAGUUACCUUGUGAAUGUGUUUUCAUUGUGACUGCUGUGUUAUUUGAGUCCUUUAUAGCUCUCACUUAGAGUUUCUAUUUUAUGAAUACAGCUCCAUGCUAACCAGGUUAUACCUGAGAGAGAGAGAAAAGCAGACAUGCGUACUACACAUGCAUGAGGUGGAGGAAGUGGGGACAGAUGGAAGGGGGAGGAAGAGUGUAUGUGUGUAAAUAAACAUAGAAGUUGUCUAGAAAUAGUCACCGUUCAGCAGAGGUGUGUGACUGAAUUGUAGGAGUCGAGAGGAAGGGUCAUUUUUUUUUUUUUUUUAAUUUACUUCUGUGAUAGUAGCUGGUACUUUUGCUUACUAUGUGCCAGGCUCCAUUCCAAGUACUUGAAAUGUACUCAUUUCUAGUUAAUCCUUACAACAAUGCUCUGAGGUGAGUUACUUUUUUCCUUUUCUCUGUUUUGAUGGAGUGUGUGUGUGUGUGUGUGUGUGUGUGUGUAUGAGUGAGAAACAAAGAGUUAUUAAUACAAAGAGUAAGUUUGUUUCUGAGCAGUUAAGAUCCAGUCCACAUUCUUAAGCACACUAUAUUGCCUUUCAGCCUGAGGUAGCUCAGUAUGGCAUUGUUCAUUUUUCAGCUAGUGCUCAUUAACCAAAAGGAGAAGAUCAAAGGUCGUAUUCAUUUAUUGUGUUGACCAGUAUGACAGUCAUUCACGCCUGCAUGGGACAGUACUGAAUGAUGCCGAUACACAUACUCAGAUAAAUAUCUAAAAUGUGUGUAUGUGUGUGUGUGUGUGUAGGGAUGUAUAUGACUUAGUGGUAGCAUAUCUUAUGUAGGGGUUUGUCUCUAAAAGCAGCAUGACCAUGUAACAUCAAAAUAGCUCUUUUCCAGCAGUAGUAACAAAAACAGCAUGAUAUUGGCACCAAAAUAGACUGGUAGGCCAAUGGUAUAGAAUAGAGGACACAGAGACUAACCCAAAUAAUUACAGUUGUCUUAUAUUAGACAAAGGUGCCAAAAACAUACAUUGGAGAAAAGUUAGCCUCUUCAACAAAUGGUUCUGGGGAAACUGGAAAUCCAUAUGUAACAAAAUGAAAUUAAACCUUAUCUCUCACCAUGCACAAAACUCAACUCAAAGUAGAUCCAAGGACUUAGGAAUAACCCAGAGACACUGCGCCUAUUAGAAGAAAAAGUAGGCCCAAAUCUCUAUCAUGUUGGAUUAGGCCCCAGUUUCUGUAAUAAGACUCCUAUAGCACAAGAAUUAAAACCAAGAAUCGAUAAAUGGGAUGGAUUCAAACCAAAAAGCUUAUUCUCAGCAAAGGAAACAAUCAGCGAGGUGAAUAAGAGAGCCUACAUCUUGGGAGCAAAUUUUUACCACUCGCACAAUAGAUAGAACACUAAUUUCUAGGGUAUAUAAAGAACUCAAAAAGCUAAACCCCUCAAAAAACAAAUAGCCCAAUCAAUAAAUGGGCCAAGGAACUCAACAGACACCUCUCAGAAGAUUAUAUACAAUCAGUCAAAAAAUAUAUGAAAAAAUGUUCAUCAUCACUAGCAAUUAGAGAAAUGAAAUCAAAACUACUCUAAGUUUCAUCUCACUCCUGUCAGAAUGGCAGCUAUUAAGAAUACAAACAAUAAGUAUUGGCAAAGAUGUGGGGAAAAAGGCACACUCAUACAUUGCUGGUGGGACUGCAAAUUGGUUCAGCCAAUAUGGAAAGCAGUAUGGAGAUUCCUUGGAAAACUGGGCAUGGAACCACCAUUUGACCUAGCUAUCCUGCUCCUUGGUCUAUACCGAAAGGACUUAAAAACAGCAUACUUUAGGGACACAGCCACAUCAGCAGCACAAUUCACAGUUGCUAAACUGUGGAGCCAACCUAGAUAUGCCCCUCAGUAGAUGAAUGGGUAAAGAAAAGUGGCAUAUAAACACAGUGGAAUAUUACUCAGCAAUAAAAGAAUAAAAUCAUGGCAUUUGCAGGUAAAUGGAUGGGGAUGGAGAAGAUAAUGCUAAGUGAAUUAGCCAAUCCCAAGAAACCAAAUGCUGAAUAUUCUCUCUGAUAUAAGGAGGCUGAUUUAUAGUGAGGUUGUGAGGGGCAGCAUGGGAGGAUUAGAUGAACUCUAGAUAGGGCAAAGGGUGUCAGGGGAAAGGAGGGCAUAUGGGGCUAAAAAAGAUGGUGGAAUGAGAUGGAUUUCAUUAUCCUAAGUACAUGUAUAGGGCUGGGGAGAUAGCUCAUUUGGUAGAGUGCUUGCCUUACAUGCACAAGGCCCUGGGUUUGAUCCCCAGCACCAAAACAAACAAACAACCCCCCCAAAACUAAGUACAUGUAUGAAGAUAUGAAUGCUGUGAAUAUACUUAUAUACAACCAGAGAUAUGAAAAACUGCUCUAUAUGUGUAGUAUGAAUUGUAAUUCAUUCUGCUGUCAUAUAUAACAAUACAAAAAAAAAAAACAACAGGCAAUCAACUUGCUUAGACUUUUGUUAGAGGCUUUGUCUCAUUCUUUGUGAGUGGCAAUUUCAAUCUCAGUUCAUUUAAUUUCUUUUUAAGACUCUGAGUUUGUUGUAUGUAGGUGUCCUUUGAGGCUACCCUGAGACUUGUAUGGGAUUCAUUCACACAAGUAGAGGAUUCAGUUUGUGGUUCUCUUUCCUCCAAAAGUUCCUCCCACCUCCAUCUCCAGGUAUGACUGUUAUGCUCCUUUCCCUGGUUCUCUUUCUGCUGUACUAUUUUACGACUGUGGCUCACUCUCAGGGCAAGUGCCCCUCUGCCAAACGUGCAUACAAAGGGGCACUCAGCCAUGUGCUAAUGGAUUCUACUUAUAUGGACUCCUUUUUUUAUUUUGAAAAAUCCUGGCCACAUUCUAUUUUUUGGAAUUGUGGGUUGCACUAUUUUCAUUUUUAUUUCUGAGCACAUGAAUUUAUCAAUUCCCAUACUUGUUAAACACAAGUAUGUUGAUGUUAUUCUUCUGAAUGCAUUGUAUACAUUUUGGUUGAUUGUCUUGAUUACUAAUGUUGAAGACUUUCUUUUUUUGGUAUGUUUCUACCUACUUAUGGUUCUGUUUUGUGACUUGCCCAUUUUUCUUUUGUUUGUUGACUUUUCCUCAUAAUUAGUUGUCAUUUGCCUUAUGUAUGUUGAAAAAUAUUUUAUUCCAGUCUUUUGUCAUAGAAAAGUCUUAAUUUUUUAUUUUUUUGAGCAGUACUAGGGAUUGAACCCAGACAGUCGAUCAUUGAGCUAUAUCUCCAGCCCUUUUUAGUUAUUUAUUUUAAAAAUUUGAGACAGGGUCUCAACAAGUUGUCUAGGAUGGCCUUGAACUUGUGAUCCCUGUUCCUCAGUCUCCUAUAUAACUGGGAUUACAAGAAUGUGCCAUGAAUUUUGAUGUCUUAUCUAUAAAUCAUCGCUUUAUUCAGAUUAAAUACUUUUGUUUCUCUGCCUGCAUUGCUUGAUUAAAAAAAAAAUCAGUAAUGUUGAAUUUUUGUGAAGCACCUUUUUCUGUCUAAAGGAGUGACCAUAAUAAUUUCCUUGUGUAAUGAAUGAGGAUUAAUGAAUUUCUAAAUACUGAACUUUCCUUUAAUUCUUUGGAUAAAAUCAAAAUCAAUUUGACCAUGAUUUAUUAUCUUUUUAAAAAACUGUUAGCCAGACGUGGUGGCGCAUACCUGAUGGCUCAGGAGGCUGAGGCGGGAGGAUGGCAAGUUCAAAUUUUAUAAAUUGCUUCUAUUUUCUGGAUGGGUUUACUUUUUUUGGUAUUUUUUUUUUUUUGAUAAUUUCAAAUUUACAGAAAAUUUUGAAAUUUUCAACCAAUUUAGAAUAAUUGGUUAAGAAACUAUGUAGGUGGGGGGGUAUGGGCAGGAUAGAUGAACUCUAAAUAGGGCAGAGGGGUGGGAGGGGAAGGGAGGGGGCAGGGGGUUAGCAAGGAUGGUGGAAUGUGAUGGACAUCAUUAUUCAAAGUACAUGUAUGAAGACACGAAUUGGUGUGAAUAUACUUUGUAUACAACCAGAGAUAUGAAAAAUUGUGCUCUGUAUGUAUAAUAUGAAUUGUAAUGCAUUCGGUUGUCAUAUAUAAAUUAAAAAUAUAAAAUAAAAAAGCAGACUUUCCACCACGGAAUACUGUCUUUAUGAUGAACGUAAAGAGAGAAAAGGCUGAAAUCCACCCCUACCCCCAGCCCCUCAGUGGACAUUGCAUGAACCCACAACAUGAUGGCCACAAUGCUCCUCUGGCUUCCUUACAGGAGGACACGAUGGUAUCAGGAACCUGUGUGGUGUCUGAGGAGGGGAAUUAAAAAAAAAAAAAAAAGAAACUCCUAUGUACACUUUAGUCAGAUUAAUCUACUGCUUACAUUUGGUGCUGGGGAUCCAAGUAGGGCUUCACAGGAGUCAGGCAAGUCUUCUGUUGCUGAGUUCCAUUGCUUCAGAUCCUAGUUUUUUUCUCUCUUAUGAUAUUUAAUCUGGAACAUGUCAUUGGCCUUUUUAUUGUUUUUCUUGACAUUUUAAUUGUAUAGGUCAGUUUUUGUUUUUUGUUAGUUUUUUUCUUUUUAAUUCAGAAGAGUCCUCAACUUCGGUUUGUUUGGUUAGAUAAAUUCAUUGCUUAUUUUUGCUAGUAAAAUGAAAUACCACAGAAGUGAUGGUAUGUUCUCAGUGCAUCAUAUCUGGAGUCACCUGAUGUUGUUUACAUUGAUGGCUGAAAGGCUUCUCCACUCUAAAUUUAUUACUUCCUUCAGUAAUUAGUAAGUAUUUUGUUAGGAUUUAUUUUGAGAUGGUGUUAAUAUCUGCUCAUCAUAAACUGUUCACCUUUGGGUUUAUUAUUCUUGUUUCUUGCUUGUCAUGUUGAAAGCUUAGUUUGUUUACUUCAGCCUCAUAUUUUCUAAAGUACUUAAGAUUAUAAACUUGUUUUUUUUUGGGGGGGAGGAUCCUGGGGAUUGAACCCAGGGCCUUGUGUGUGUGAGGCAAGCACUCUACCAACUGAGCUAUAUCACCAGCCCUAAGAUUAUAAACUUAAUACAUAAUUUGACUUAUGGUCUGGGAAUACUUAUAGUAGGAUUUGGAAUGAAAGGAGACUAAAUCAUCUAUUACCAGGAAGCUGGCAGUAAGAACCUGAACAGAGAAUUUAAAAGUGCCCCAAAUCAAUCAUUUUAAAAAAUGUGUUCAGUCUUGCAUUAAAGAACAAGUGAUAUGGUUUUUAAUGGUUUAAUGGUUGUAAUUGGCACAACUAUAAACAGUAAUAAGUUGCUGAAAAUAAUGAAUUUAAGAAGUUUAUUUCUUUAGUGCAUUGCGUACUUGGGGCUUAUUUAAUAUACAACUAUCUCAGACCAUGUUUUGCCUUUACCAUUUCAGGAGCAGUGGAAGGGGCAUGGAAGAAUCCUUUUUCAAGCUGGUUUUCUGCAAUGCUCCACUGCUUUGGUGGAGGAAUUUUAUCAUGUAUACUUCUUGCAGAGCCUCCACUGAGGUUUUUUGCAAAUCACACUAAUGUUUUACUGGCAUCUUCAAUCUGGUAAGCUAUCAUUAUGGUAAACUAUGAGACAUUCUAAAAAUUGUUUUGUAAAUUGCUAGUAAAAUGAAAUUUUUUUCUUUAAAAAGUAUUUUAUCUUCUUGGAAAGUUAUGUACAAGGAAGAAACCCAAAUAAUUCCAAAUGUUUAAGCACCUGCUGUCUCUUUCUUGCCUUUCUCUCCCCUUAUUUUUUCUUUUCUUUUCUUUUUUUAUAUAUUUUUUUUUUAGUUUUCGAUGGACACAGUACUUUUAUUUAUUUUUAUGUGGUGCUGAGGAUCGAACCCAGUGCCUCCCACAUGUGAGUCAAGCGCUCUGUCACUGAGUCACAAUCCCAGCCCCUCCCCUUAUUUUUUCCUAGAGGCAAUUAUUACCACCAUAGUCUUAUGCAUUUAGCUUUUCAGACAUGAAAGAGGAUUAAAUAUUUGGCCCCAAACAGUUUCAUCUUAUGAGCUCAACUUAUACAUCCAGAAUUACCACACACAGAAUUAGAAUACAAUAAAAGUCAAUAAAUGUCAUGAAUAUAACCAAACAAAAAAGAUUCAAAUGACUCAAUAUAUAAUUGUCCUUUGUCAUACUUUUUGUUGGGUUAUUUAGAACCUUAUGAGAUCUUUAACAUUAAUUUUUUAGUUGUGAAAUGAAGUAAAAUGUUGCUAGGAAUUGCUUUGGCUUCUUGUAACUCCAAAUUCAGGUAUGCUUUAGAGAACUGAUCCAUUAAGUUAAAAAAUAGGUAUACUACAAAUCAGUGAACUUUGUUCUGUUGAAAGCCAAAACUGUGCUUCUAUUAAAAACCACAUCAGGUUAAAUAUAUAAGAUGUUAGGAACACUUAAGAUUUCAUUUUUAUUAUGAUAAUUUGUAAAUGAUUGUUUUACUAGUUCUGAAGGGGAUAUUAUAAAUAAUAGUAGCAAUAAUAAAAAGUAAAAUGAGGGAACUUGUGGCAGGAGAAACUUGAAAGGGUAUAAUAAUACACUUGAUAGUUUUGAAUACUGACUUGUUAAUAUAUGUCAACUAAAUUCUUUAUAUUCAUUUUCAUAUUAUAUUAUAGGAGUCCCCUGAGUUAGUUUUUAUUCUUAUGCCCAUUUGACAACUGAGAAAACUGAAAUAAAGAAAUGUUGCUAUAACUUUCAUAUCUAGUAAGUGACUGAGUUAGAAUCAAAUUAAAAAAUUUGACUUCAGAACCUUCAAACUUGAUAGGCCCUCGCUCGCGCGAGCUCUCUCUCUCUCUCUCUCUCUCUCUCUUUCAUGAAGCUGUGAUGGAACCAAGACCUCACUCAUGCUAGGCAGGCUCUCUGCUGCUGAACUACAUCCCCAGUCCUCUCAUAAAUUUGUUAACAAUCUCCUAAAUAUAGUCUUUUCCAUUUGCUUUUUGUUUUAAAAAACUUUUCAAGGAUUUUAUUUCUACAAUGAUAUUUUAAAAUGAUAUUAGCAUUUUAGAAAAAUUCUUUUUAUGUGUGUAGAUGUUGAAAUUAUAUAAAAAGUAAGAUAUCCAGAAUCUGACACUCACCAUCACUUAUACUUCUAUUUCUGUUGUACUAAUCACCAAUACUUCUUGCCUGGAUAGUUGAAGUAGCUUCUUAAGGGGUCUUGCUGCUCUAUUCAUUAUCUCUCUUUUUUUUUUUAAUUUAUUUUUUAGUUUUCGGUGGACACAACGUCUUUAUUUUUAUUUUUAUGUGGUGCUGAGGAUCGAACCCAGUGCCUCGCGCAUGCCAGGCAGUCAUGUUACUGCUUGAGCCACAUCCCCAGCCCUAUUCAUUAUCUCUUGAGUCUGUUCUUCAUGCAACAGAUGAAAUGAAUUGUUUUAAAAUAAAUUGGAACAUGUUACCCUUAUGCUAGAGUUUCUUACCUUAUGAAGAACAAAAUUCUAAGCUCUUACCAUAACCUAUAAAUCCCUACAAAACCUUUCUUCUACUCUUUAAUGUAAUGUCUUACCACUGUAACUCUUGUUCACUAAUUCUUGAACAUAUAAGAUAUUUUUCUUCCUUAGUGCCUUUGAACUUGCUUUCUUCUCCCUGUAAUGUUAUUUUCCCAGAAGACUCAUAGUUUAUUAGAGAGGUCUUUCACCAUCCUUCUCUAUUUUUCUUCCUAGAGUUAUUACUGCUUGACAUAUUAACCGUUGACUUUUUAUGUUGCUGUAAUUCCACUAGAAUAACAAACAGUUUAUUAGACCAAGAACUUUGUUUUGUUAACUGUGUACCAAGUAAUAUUCUGCUUUCAGUAAAUACAUUGCUAAAGGAGUAGAUUGCUAUGUACUGUCAUGAGCAAUUUCUGAAAUUGAGUACCAAGGAAUUACAGAUCUUGAUUAAUUGAUCUCUUAAAUGAAGUGAAAUUGCAAUGUCUAUAAAUGUAUGAUUUCUUGGCUUAAACUAAGACAUAUGUUAGAAAUGGAAAAUGAGAAAUGCAUUUUUAUAAUGAAUUAAUAACAUAUUCAUUAACCUCAGAUCUUUUAUUAUUCCCAUUUUAUGUAAGAGGAAGUUGAGGCUUAAAGAGUUGGUAUAAAGUCUGAAUUUCAACUCAGGCAUUUAGAUUAUGGUCUUUAUAGAGUUUUUUCUCUAAACAAUCUUUAUUAGUCUUUUCAGCUAAUACAGAAUAGGUAGAAAAAUAUUUCUAAAGUAUAUGUAAAAUAGAAACAAUUAUGAUGUAAUAAAUCUUGUGUAUCCAUUAUUUAAUUAAGAAAAAAAUUGCCACUUAAAUUUUUUUAUAUGAAGUGAACAUUCAGAAAGCCACAAAGAUGCAUUGACAUAGUAAAUUAUUAUAGUGUAUACCCUUGUAACCCCUACCCCAGUCAAGAGAUUGUGCUUUGUCACUAAUCAUAGAAGUUCUUUCUAUGUGUUUUAUUCCAAUCACAACCUCUUUCCCACCUUAAAUAACCAUUAUAAUAACACAUCCUUACUUCUAUGGGAAUCACGUUUCAUAUUUUUAUAAUUUUAUCACCACUGUUCAUUCCUUGAUAUAUUAUAGUUUAGUUAUUUAUAGGUUCAGAUUGUCUGAUUUGAUCUCUUUUGUGAUAUUUACAGUGUUUUACACUUAAUGCCUGUAACAGUAAAUUGGGAAUUGUAAAAUGGCAAUGAUCUAAUUUUAUCUUUUCUUUUUAUUUAUUUAUUUAUUUAAAAUUUUUUUUUGUAGUUGUACACAAUACCUUUAUUUUAUUUUUUUAUUUAAAUGUUGUGCUGAGGAUCGAACCCACACUGCACACAUACUAGGCGAGUGCUCUACUGCUGAGCCAGAACCACAGCCCCCUUCUUUUUAUUUUUUAAAAUAUUUUUUAACUUGUAGAAGAACACAAUACCUUUGUUUUAUUUUUUAUGUGGUGCUGAAGAUUGAACUCAGUGCUUUCCACAUGUGAGGCGAGUACUCUGCCACCGAACUACAUCCCCAGCCCUCUUUUCUUUUUAUUCGUCAGUUAGAAUAUUAUUCUAAACAGAUACUUCUGACUUACCAUCUACUAUUUGGUAAAGCAGUUGUAUAGUUCAUAUAAGAAAGGCAGGAUAAAUACUUUUUUCUUUUCCUUUACUAGUUUUCAGUAUAAUUAACCUAUACUCUGUCAUCCUCCAAAGAUGACCAGUUUAAAAAAACAAUAAUUAUGAACUCAUGAUUCAAGCAUAUUUCAUGAGUUUUAAUUUUAAUUUUUGUUUUAAUUCUUUGGCCAGUGGGAGCCUCUUUAAAUUGGCUCCUGAGACUUCGGAUUAGCUUCCUUGCCUUUUGGUGUUAUAAAAUUCAUCUUGCACUUUUCUUCUGGAAUUUCUUUAAGAACCUCCAGUAUCUUUUUAAUGAGAAAUGGCAUUUCAAAACCAUAAUCUGAGCAUUAGCGAUCAUCAUUGUUACUGAGUUCAUCAUUGGUUCUAGGCCACUACAGUGAACAGAUAAGAAAAAUAAAGACAAAAUAACUUAUGAGUUCAUAUUGAUAUUUCUGAUCCAAAUUCAAAACUAUACAAUUUUUAUUUAUCUUAUCUCUAUUACAUACAUAUCUUCUUUCUUUGAUAUUAAGGAUUUUGAUUUUUAAAAGAAUAGGACAUGAUAGAAUUAAACUAUUUUGACAUUGCUUAUUUAUUCUGUUGUUUAUUUGUUUUUGUGUGGUGCUGAGGAUCGAAUCCAGGGCCUCACCCAUCCUAGGCAAACACUCUAACACUGAGCUAGAACCCCAGCCCUCAUUUUAUUCUGUAUUAUGCACAUGAUAGUUUUAGAGUAUAGUAAGACUGUCACCAAUUUGGUUACUGGAAACUUUUUUUUAUUAGAGCUUUAUAUUUAUAUAUAAUAUUUGGGUUCCUUUUGACAUACAAAGAAUUUGAUUUCAAUCCCCAUUCCCCCCUCCUUAAUUUCCUCCUUCUUUUUUUUUCUCUCUUCUCACUCUUUUAUUUAUUUAUUUUUGACUGGUACUUUCUACAUAUACAUAGAGGAGAUAUACCGUUUGGUACAUUUAUAUAUGUAUAUAUUAUGGUUUUGUUAGAUUCAUUCCAUAUUUCUUUCCCUUAUGCUUCCUUUUCUCUCUCCCUCUCAUUUUCCUACUUUUAAUCCACUGAUCAUCCCUAUAUCUUUAUGAUAUCCAAUCCCCUCCCCCACUGCCUUUUCCCCCUUAUUUUGCUUUAGCUUCCACAUACAAGAGAAAACAUUCAACCCUUGAUUUUCUGAGUCUGACUUAUUUCACUAUUAUGAUUUUCUCCAUUUCUAUCCAUUUACUGGCAAAUGUCACAUUUCAUUCUGAUUUAUGGCUGAGUAAAACUCCAUUGUGUGUGUAUAUCACAUUUUCUUGAUCUAUUUAUAUAUUGACAGGUAUCUGGGUUGAUUCCAUAAUUUGGCUAUCGUGAAUUGUGCUGCUACUAACAUUGUAUUGGCUGUUUCAUUAUAGUAUGUUGAUUUUAAUUCUUGGAUAAAUACCAAGGAGUGGGAUAGCUGGGUUAUAUGGUGAUUCCAUUUCUAGAAUGGAAUCUGCUUUUGAAAGUAGUUGUACUAAUUUGCAGUACCAACAACAAUAUUUGAGUGUACCCUUUGCCUACAUCCUUGCCAGCAUUUAUUAUUAUUCAUAUUCUUGAUAAUUGCUAUUCUGACUGGUAGUAUUUGUGGUUUGCAUUUCCCUGAUUGCUAGAGAUGUUGAACGUUUUUUUCAUAUAUAUAUAUAUUUUGGCCAUUUGUGUUUCGUUUUGUUCUUUUGUCCAUUUAAUGAUUGGGUUAUUUUAUUUUAUUUCAUUUUUUUGUGUUCUUUAUAUAUUUUAGAGAUUAACCCUCUCUCAGAGGAGUAGUUGGCAAAGAUUUUCUCCCAGUCUGUAGGCUCUCUCUUUGCUUUCUUUCUUUUGUUUUUUUUUGGGGGGGCGGGUGUGGGUACCAGGAUUGAACUCAGAACACUCAACCGUUGAGGCACAUCCUUAGCCCUAUUUUGCAUUUUAUUUAAAAUCAGUGUCUUGGGGGCUGGGGAUGUGGCUCAUGUGGUAGCGCGCUCGCGUGGCAUGCGUGCGAUCCGGGUUCGAUCCUCAGCACCACAUACAAACAAAGAUGUUGUAUCCGCCGAAAACUAAAAAAUAAAUAUUAAAAAAAAAAUUAAAAUCAGUGUCUUACUGAGUUGCUUAGUGCCUCGCAGUUGUUGUGGGUAUCCUCCUGUCUCAGCUACCUGAGGUGUUGAGAUUGCAGGCCUGCGCCACUGCGCCCUGCCCUCUUUGCUUUCUCAGUUGUGAAAAUUGCUUUUUAUGUUUAACUCUCGUAUGUUUAACUCUUAUGUUUAAUACAAAUGCACCGUUCUGCAUUCUAAUAAUAUUAUAGCCAUUUCAUACUAUACUUACCCUUUUUAAGUUUUCAUUCAGUCUUAUUUUUCAGCUAACUUUAACACUUAAUACUAGUUCUUAUGACUUAUAUCUGUUUAUUUUGGUUGUCUGAAGCUUAUGCUAUAGUAAAUUUCAUCAGGAAUAGUAGUCCCAGAGUUUUCACAUAAGGAUGUUUAUUUGUGUCUUUUAACUCAAAAGCCAAGUUUUUUAUUUACUUAUUUAAAAAAAAUUAUUUAUUUAUUCUAAUUUGUUAUAUAUGAUAGCAGAAUGCAUUUCAAUUCAUAGUAUACAUAUAGAGCACAGUUUUUCAUGUCUCUGUACACAAAGUAGAGUCACACCAUUUGUGUCUUCAUACAUGUACCUGGGGUAAAUGAUAUCCAUCUCAUUCUACCAUCUGUCCUAACCCCCUUUCCCCUCCCCUCCCCUCCCUUCCCUUGUCUUUGCCUUAUCUAAAGCCUAUUUUAUUGAAUAUAAAAUCAUUGACACAUGUAUAAUUAAUAUAUUAAAUGUACUAUUUCAUUUUUCCCCCCUGACUUAAAGCAUUGCUGUGAAAAAGUCUAAUGGUCUUUUAAUUUUCUUGCCCUUAUAAAGUCAUGUGCUUUCUCUUUCGCUCUCUCUCUUUUUUUUCCUGAAUUUUGUUUUCUUUAGAGUUUAAUAAUUUAAAUAAAACAUGUUUUGAUUGGUCAUUUUGGGGCAGUAUCUUCAAGUAUGUGGGAUGUUCUUUUUAGUACAUAUAAAUGUUUUCUUAUUUGGAAAAAUUGAGUAUUUGUAUGAUUCCUUGGACUUGUUUUUCUUUAGGAACUCCUAUUAUUACCGGCAGAUUGGCUCUUCUUUGCCUUUCUUCAAUGAAUCUUUUUUAAAAAAAUAUAUACAUUUUUAGUUGUUGAUGGACUUUAUUUUAUUUGUUUAUUUAUAUGUGGUACUGAGAAAUGAACCCAGUGUCUCACACAUGUGAGGCAAGUGCUCUACCACUGAGCCACAACUCCAGCCCUUUAUCUGUCUUUUUAAGUUAAAAUAUUUUUACCUUUUCCUCUUCUAUUUCUUUGGAUGCACUGUCUGUUGUGUUUAUUUCUCUUUUUGUUUUCUUCUUUAGUCUUCAUAUCUGAAAUUACCUUUGUUUUUUAUUUUUAUUCAUAAUCCUUAGUUUUUAGUUUUUUUUCUAAUUCUGAUGUUUGCUGUGCUUUUUAUGUCUUAUAUCACUUUCUUAAUGUCUUCAGCUUUUUCUUUUUUUGAAAUAAUGAGCUACAGUUCUAAUCUGAUUUGCAGAAACAUCCUGAGUGUUUUUUUUUUUUUUUUUUAAGUUGUAGUUGAACACAAUACCUUUAUUUUAUUUAUUUAUUUUUUAUGUGGUGCUAAGGAUCAAAGCCAGUGUCUCACGUGCUAGGAGAGUGCUUUACCACUGGGCUUACUUUAUUUAUUUUUUUAUUGUAAUAAGUUUAUAUGAGAUUUGACCUUAAUAAUUUUCUGUUAGUAAUAUUUAUAUGAAUUUGGUUUCCUUUAGGCUUUCAGAAUUAGGUAGAAUUUUCUGACUUCACAGAGCUUCUAUUUGUUGUUUUUAAUGUAGCAUUCAAAAGAUGAUGGUACAUGUUCCCUGAGAUUUCUUGGGUCUUUUCUCCUUCCCCAUUUUGGUCUGGACUUUUCUCUUUCUUUUAUUUUUCUAUCCUGCUCUGUUUUGAUUUUAUUCCAGCAGUUUGUUUUCAAUAUGGGGCCUGUUCUAGAAGAUCAUCCUGGUGGAUCAGUUUUGAAAGCUCAUACAGACUAAAUUGUUUAAACCUUUUCCCAUCUUCUAUCAUGGACCCCUUGUCCUAUCUGAUGUUUAAGCUGCCAUAUAUGUUAGUUCACCCUUGCAAUCCUAGCUAUGUGGAGGUUGAAGCAGCAGGAGGAUUACCAGUUCUAGGCCAGCCUGGGCAAUUUAGUAAGAUUCUGUCUCAAAAUAAAAAGGGAUGAGGAUGUAGUUCAGUGGUAGAAACCUUACUUAGCAUGCACAAGACCCUAGGUUAAUCUCUAGUUACUAAAACAAAUGUGCAGGUGAGCACACAGACAGAAACCCUCUAGUUUUUCUUCAAAUUGGCCUACAUGUACUUUCUGGUGAGUGCCCAUUUGCUCCCUUUAGUGUUAUUUUGUUUGUGAGCUUGUAUCUUUUUCCUGUUGGUCUCUCUGAGUGUUGGUGAUUUGUCUCUUCCCACUUGCUUUUGGGGUCUGAGAGGUUUUCUUAUUAGUAUUGUAUAUAGGAUUUUAGUGUUGGCUGUCUCGUUGCUCUGUGUUUUUCUGUGGGAUUUGAGUAAAUUAAGAUAUAUUCAAUCACUACCAUCUUCCCAGAAUCCUUCUAUUAGUUUUGAUGUCCCCAGUAUCUUCUCUAGUCCCCCUUUUUCCUUCCUCAGAGGGAAUCAUCAUAGUUUUGUGCUUAUUAUUCAUUUGCUUUUCUAUGUAGCUUUAGCAAUGUUUAUAUCUCAAAACAAUAUAAUUUUUGAAAUUUUAUAAAAUGAAUCAUAUAUGUUUUUCUGUAACUUGCUGUUUUUUGUUCAACCUCUAUUCCUGAAAUUCAUUUUUAUUGUGUGUGGUUGUAAUUUAUCAAUUUUCACCGUUGUAUAGCAUAACAGAAUUAUCACGUCAUAAUCUUUCCUUUUCUCUACUGACAGUUGUUUCUACUUUUUUCCUAUCAUAAACAGUAUUUCUAAGAAAAUUCAUACAUAUUUACUGGUGUACAUAUGUAAGAUUUUCUCUUCGCAUAUGCUUAAGAGUAAUAUUCAAUUAUAGGGAAAAUGAUUCUUAAACUGUAUUAUAUGAUGCCAGAUCAUUUCCCAAAACCGUUAUAUUAAUUUACAUUCUCACUGCAUUGCACCCAACCUAAGAACUGGACUCUACCAGUAAUUUUUAUACAUUUAUACAUUUUCUUCCUCUGUCCUGUCUUCUAAUUUUUCACAGAUAACCUCUACCCUAAUGGUUGUAUUUAUCUUACCUUUUAGAAAAAUUUAUAUUAUAUUGGUGAAUAAAUAAUAGUAUGUGGGGAGCCAUUCUCACACGUGACUGGGCAACUCCUGGUUUGGGUCUGAGGCGCUCUGGCUAAACUGUGUCGGAGCUUUCCCGGCCCUCUCCUGGUGCGAGAGCCUGUCCGUGUGGGGGUGUGACUGACCACUGACCCCGGGGACCAGUCACUGACCCAGACCUUCAUUGGAUGGAAUUCUCCCUUGAAUUUCUUGUUCCCCAAUAAAAGGCUACUCCCUGGCGUGCUCCCUCUCUCUCUCUCCUGCUAGCCCUGAGUAAUCCUUGCUGCCCUACCGGGUGGUUCGAGGUAUAAACCAGAGGGAGAGCCGUCUGGGACCUGGUCAUAGAAAAAGGUAACUGAGUCUGUGUGUUUAUUUCGAUCUCACUAGUUAACUUUUAUGCCAAGAACCUCAUUAAUGAAACCAGUGCGCUGGACGCAUGGUGGAAUAGUAUUUUUAGUUUUGUUUGUUUGAGGCCCUAUUUUUUUUUUCACAUUUUAAAAAUCCUUUUAAUUAGUUGAUGAAAAUUUGGGUUAUUUGAGGCACUAUUUUAAUUAAUUUAUUUUUUGUGGUUCUGGGAUUGAACCCAGGGCAUUAUAACAUGCUAAGCACACACUAUAGCAUUGAGCUAUAUAAGCCCCUAGCACCUGAACCCAUUUUAAAAUGGAAUAUCAUACUGACUAUAGUUUCCUGGGCAUUAAUUUUUCACUUGAUAUUAUAUUACUAAGAUUCAUCUGUAUGUUUUUGUGUGUAGCCAUAGUGCAUUCCUUCCCAUUGCUGUUUAAUCCAUUAUAUUGAUAUCUAUAUUUAUUUUAUUGUUGAUGAGCAUUUUAUUGGUUCCAGUUGUUUUGUUGUGCAUUACAAAACCACAGUAAUGAUAGUAAUUUAUAUAUCAUUUAUUAUGUCCUAGACACUCUUCUUAGUGCUUUAUAUUUACUAUCUCAUUUAAACCUCACAUGAAUCUUGUGAGGUAAGUAUUGUUUCACUCUUCACAGAUCAUAUAACUGAGGCAUGAGGCAUAAGGCAUGCAGAAUUAAUAACUUACCCAAGGGAUUGCAGAUACUAAGUGAUUGGAACCUAGGGUAUCUAUCUAGUUCUUUGUGCUUUGUUCAUGCAAUGUAUUCCUUCCCCCCCCCCCCCCAAGUACUGGGGAUUGAACCCAGGGCACUCUACCACUGAGCCCCUUCCUCCCUUUAAAAUUUUGAGAGGGUCUUGCCAGGUUUCUGAGGCUGGUCUUGAACUUUCAAUCCUCCUGUUGCAGUCUCCAAAGUAGAUGGGAUUAUAGGAGUGUGCCACCACACCUGACAAUAUUGCAUCCUAUUCUGCAAAUAGGAAUCUUUUCUUUGUCCUCAUAGACCUUUACAUAUAAAAAAGGUUCUGAUUUAAAGACAUAUAGUAUGUGUUACUAUUUUCUCCUUUAAAGUUUUAAUAUUUAGAAUAAAUAUAUAGUCUUUGCUUCAUUUAAUUUUUCUUAUUUCUUUCUUUAUUUUUGGUAUUCGGUAUCGAACCACUGAGUCACAUCCCCAGCCCUUCUUAUUUUUAAUUUGAGACCACAUCUAUAUAAAUUGCUUAGGGACUCACUAAGUUGCUGAGGCUGACCUCAAACUUGCGAUCCUCCUGCCUCAGCCUCCUGAGUCACUGAGAUUACAGGCAUGUGCCACUGUGCCCAACUACUUCAUUUAAUUUUAAUUUGAAAAUUAAAAUGAUGUUUGGAGUGUAAAUUCUAGCAAGUAAGGUCAUCUUUAGUAUCAUAGUGCACACCUCUGGAGAUUAGCACCAUCUACUGGCAUACAGAAACAAUAACUUGGUUAUGUCAUAAUUAUUGGUUAGAAAGAUUUUUCUUUUUUUAAAUUUUUUUUUUAGUUGUAGUUGGAACACAAUACCUUUAUUUUAUUUAUUUAGUUUUAUGUAGUGCUGAGGAUCGAACCUAGUGCCUCCCACGUGCUAGGCAAGUGCUCUUCCGCUGAGCCAUAACCCCAGCCUAUAGAUGGAGUUUUCUUUUUGAAAAUCUGCUUCUGAGGAAGCAAAUGUUUUAUAAUUUUCCUACGUAUUGAUUUUUAUUCCCCAGGGGUUUUUUUUUUUUUUACCUUGAACUUAAAUUCCCAAGUGUAACUUAUUGUAUGUUGCAUAUUAUACAGUUGCAUAGCUAAAAUUACAUUUAGACAAGCUGUCAUUGGGUAAGUCUUUUUUCAAAGCACAUAUAUAAAAUAAUUUAUUAGAGUAAUAAGAACAAGAGGAAACUAUUGUAUUGAACCAACAUUAAUUAUAUUUAUUUAGUGUUCUGUUUUGGUUUAGUUAAGUGAUAAUAUCUUUGUAGAGGAAUGAAUUGAUAGUACAGAAUUCUCAGUGACUAACCUUGGGAAAUUUUACUCCCAUCUUUCUUACUUUAAGUGGUUUAGCUUUCAUUUGUUGGUGGUGUAGGAUUUUAUUUGUAUCUUGUUUUUGGACUAAUUUCUAUCCUUGGUCAUUUUUCUUUCUUUAUCAGUUUAAUCCAUGAGACUUAAAAAUGUGUGAGAAAUCCAUUAUUGUCAUUCAUUUUUCUCUUUUUUCUGUUAUGUUUUCUUUAGGCACUUUUAGAAGUUAAAUGUAUCUGAGAUGUUAUAAGGAGGGAUAUGUGAUUACUUAAUGAGUGUUAGUUGAGUGAUUCAUUAAAGGAAUUUAAAAAAAUCUAAUUUAUGUUACAGAGUAGGAAUAGUUGUUUUAGAGAUUCAGUGUUUCUGAUAUGUUUAUUUAUAAGUCUUCUGAACAAAAUAAAUGAUCUUUUGCUCUGUGGCUAUUUAGCACUCAAGGAGAGUGUUUUUUUGUUUGUUUGUUUGUUUAUUGUGUUAGCUUAUUGUAGGUAUUCACAUAUUUAGGAAUAUCUGAUUAAGGACUUACUAAUUCAGAAAUAGAAAUAAUUAUAAAAUCUUGAAUAUGAAAAGUCCAAGAUUACUCUUGUAAUAGCAUAAGUUUUUAACUCAUGUUAAAGAUAGACUUAGUGAAGGGAUUGAGAAAUGGGGUCAUUUGUACUAUUGUUUUUUUAUUCCUUUCAGUAUUUUACCUUUGAAUUUAAUUUCUGUUAAAGUGAAAACUAAUUUUUUCUAAUUCUAAUGUAUAAUUUUAUUUUAUUAAAACAUAUACAAUGUCUUUAUACUCUAGAAAAAUGAAUUGGAGAAAAGGGCAUUUGGUAAUUGAGAAAGGGUUGCACUCAAUCCCCAGUAACUUCUUUCCUGUGCCUCUUUGUGAACAACAUAAAUCUAUACAAAGAUAGGUGAUAGCUCAAAAGCAAGCAGGGUUGUUAAUAUUUUAAGAACAAUUCACCUCUGGUGAAUUAUUUUUUAAAUUUCACUUGUCCUAAGCAUCUGUUCAAAUAAUGUCAGAAAUUUUUACUAGAAAAAAAACGACUUAUUUUCUCUUCAUUUCUAAAACAUGAUUGGUUAAAACUAAGCAUGUUCAACUAAAUUUUAAAAACCAGGCUUAUAUUCUUUCAGUUGUAUGAAAAAGUGUUCUUUAACAACCUUGCUUGACAUUGUGUAAUUAGAGCAGUCUUCACCCCUAAAAGUGAUUAUGCUUUUGCUUAAUUUUGUUAGUUGAUUCAGUACUUCCAGAAAAUAGGCACAAAUUAGGAACUCAGUAGAUACUUCAUCCAUUUAUGGAGUAUUCACAAGGUCAUGACUUUUUUUUUUUUUUUUUGGUAUCAGGGAUUGAACUCAGGUGACUCAGCCACUGAGCCACACCCCCAGCCCUGUUUUGUAUUUUAUUUAGAGACAGGAUCUCACUGAGUUGCUUAGCACCUCACUUUUUGCUGAGGCUGGCUUUGAACUUGCAGUCCUCCUGACUCAGCUUCCCUAGCUGCUGGAAUUACAGGUGUAUGUCACCGCACCCAGCUGAUCAUGACAUUUUGACAUGUGAUUUAAAAGAUUGAUCUUCCUAUACAGUAUGUGCUUUUCUUGGAUUCCUAUUCUAAGUUUACAUGGAUAAUUCCAUUUAUUGUGUUAUGCCAUAUUGUUAGUACUGAUAGAGUUUUGUUUCUGUUCUUCUGAUUCUGUGCACAUAUUAAAAUAUUUAAAUUUUAAUUUCAGGUAUAUUAUAUUUUUUUGCCCUUGGGACCUUAUUUCCCAGGGCUAUUCAUUCUUACCUGUUCAACUUCUGGCUGCGGGAAUGAAGGAAGUGACCAGAACUUGGAAAAUAAUAGGUGGAAUCACACAUGCUAAUAGCUAUUACAAAAAUGGCUGGUUAGUCAUGAUAGCUAUUGGAUGGGCCCAAGGUAAUAUUAACAAUAUGUGUUCAUAGGUA